rnacentral:rRNA from 1 species
AGAACGAACGCUGGCGGCAUGCCUAAUACAUGCAAGUCGAACGAACUCUUCGGAGUUAGUGGCGCACGGGUGCGUAACGCGUGGGAAUCUGCCCUUGGGUUCGGAAUAACAGUUGGAAACGACUGCUAAUACCGGAUGAUGACGAAAGUCCAAAGAUUUAUCGCCCAGGGAUGAGCCCGCGUAGGAUUAGCUAGUUGGUGAGGUAAAGGCUCACCAAGGCGACGAUCCUUAGCUGGUCUGAGAGGAUGAUCAGCCACACUGGGACUGAGACACGGCCCAGACUCCUACGGGAGGCAGCAGUAGGGAAUAUUGGACAAGUGGGCGGAAAGCC